rnacentral:rRNA from 1 species
AACGAACGCUGGCGGCAGGCUUAACACAUGCAAGUCGAGCGCCCCGCAAGGGGAGCGGCAGACGGGUGAGUAACGCGUGGGAAUCUACCCAUCUCUACGGAAUAACGCAUGGAAACGUGUGCUAAUACCGUAUACGUCCUUCGGGAGAAAGAUUUAUCGGAGAUGGAUGAGCACGCGUUGGAUUAGCUAGUUGGUGGGGUAAAGGCCUACCAAGGCGACGGUCCAUAGCUGGUCUGAGAGGAUGAUCAGCCACACUGGGACUGAGACACGGCCCAGACUCCUACGGGAGGCAGCAGUGGGGAAUAUUGGACAAUGGGCGCAAGCCUGAUCCAGCCAUGCCGCGUGAGUGAUGAAGGCCCUAGGGUUGUAAAGCUCUUUCACCGGUGAAGAUAAUGACGGUAACCGGAGAAGAAGCCCCGGCUAACUUCGUGCCAGCCGCCGCCGUAAUAC